rnacentral:rRNA from 1 species
GACGAACGCUGGCGGCGUGCUUAACACAUGCAAGUCGAACGGAGUGCCCAUGACAGAGGUUUCGGCCAAUUGAUUGGGUUACUUAGUGGCGGACUGGUGAGUAACGCGUGAGGAACCUGCCUUUCAGAGGGGGACAACAGUUGGAAACGACUGCUAAUACCGCAUGACGCAUGACUGGGGCAUCCCGGACAUGCCAAAGAUUUAUCGCUGAAAGAUGGCCUCGCGUCUGAUUAGCUAGUUGGUGAGGUAACGGCCCACCAAGGCGACGAUCAGUAGCCGAACUGAGAGGUUGAACGGCCACAUUGGGACUGAGACACGGCCCAAACUCCUACGGGAGGCAGCAGUGGGGAAUAUUGCACAAUGGGGGGAAACCCUGAUGCAGCGACGCCGCGUGAGUGAAGAAGUAUUUCGGUAUGUAAAGCUCUAUCAGCAGGGAAGAAAUGACGGUACCUGACUAAGAAGCCCCGGCUAACUACGUG